rnacentral:rRNA from 1 species
UUUGUAUCUCGUGUGUGGUAGUAGUUAGGAUUUAAAGCCUAACUAGCUAUAUGCACGUAGUCGUAACUGAAAGGUUGAUCGACCACAGUGGGCCUGAAUAAAGCCCAUGACGAUUGUCACAGCAGUGAGGAAUAUUGGUCAAUAAAUAUGAUGCAAGAUCGACUAUGUCGAAUAAAAUUCUAGGUAGAAUUAUGAUAAUGACAUUGUCUGCCUAUGUGUCUUGACCAAAUUACGUGCCAGCAGUCGCGGUAAUACGUAGAAGACUAGUGUUAUUCAUGUUUAAUCGGUUUAAAGGGUACCUAGACGGUAAAUCAAGCCUAAAAGGAAAUAAAUGAAGGGACUAAUUUACUAGAGUUACUUAUGAGGGGGUAUUAAAGUACUGCUGGUGUAGAGAUGAAAUUCUGUCAUACCUCUUUUCAAUAGAAAAACAAUGGCACAGGUAUAGGCGAAAGCAUCCCCUUAUGUGAUAACUGACGUUGAGGGACGAAGGCUUUGUGUAGCGAACAGGAUUAGAUACCCCAGUAGUCAAAGCAGAAAAUGAUGAAUGUCAUAGAUUAGAUAUAUAAAUUUAUUCUAUAAAUGAAAGUGUAAGCAUUCCACCUCAAGAGUAAUUUGGCAACAUUGGAACUGAAAUCAUUAGACCGUUUCUGAAACCAGUAGUGAAGUAUGUUGUUUAAUUUGAUGAUCCGCMAAAAACCCUUAAAAGAAAACAAUAACAAGAAAAAAGAGGCAAUAAGAUAUAUUUACAAGCGUUGCACGGCUGUCUUCAGUUAAUGUCGCGAGACUAUGGUUAGUUCCAUUAAAUUAACGUAAACCCUUACUUUAUUUUUAUAUAGAGUAGUUCCCCGCUAUAUUGGAUAU